AAACGUAGGAGGCAAGCGUUAUUCGGAUUUACUGGGCGUAAAGGGUGUGCAGGCGGUUCGGAAAGUUGGAUGUGAAAGCUCCUGGCUUAACUGGGAGAGGUCGUUCAAAACUUCCGGACUAGAGGAUGAGAGAGGAAAGCGGAAUUCCGAGUGUAGUGGUGAAAUGCGUAGAUAUUCGGAGGAACACCAGUGGCGAAAGCGGCUUUCUGGCUCAUUUCUGACGCUCAUACACGAAAGCUAGGGUAGC
rnacentral:rRNA from 1 species